GGAAUAUUGGUCAAUGGACGGAAGUCUGAACCAGCCAUGCCGCGUGAAGGAUGAAGGCGUUCUGCGUUGUAAACUUCUUUUAUUGGGGAAGAAACCACAGAUUUCUAUUUGUGUUGACGGUAUCCAAUGAAUAAGCACCGGCUAACUCCGUGCCAGCAGCCGCGGUAAUACGGAGGGUGCGAGCGUUAUCCGGAUUUACUGGGUUUAAAGGGUGCGCAGGCGGCCUAUUAAGUCCGGGGUGAAAUCCCACAGCUCAACUGUGGAACUGCCUUGGAUACUAUUAGGCUUGAAUUAAGUAGAGGUCAGCGGAAUACAACAUGUAGCGGUGAAAUGCAUAGAUAUGUUGUGGAACACCGAUUGCGAAGGCAGCUGACUGGGCUUAUAUUGACGCUCAUGCACGAAAGCGUGGGUAGCGAACAGGAUUAGAUACCCCAG
rnacentral:rRNA from 1 species